GGUUAAGCGACUAAGCGUACACGGUGGAUGCCCUGGCAGUCAGAGGCGAUGAAGGACGUGCUAAUCUGCGAUAAGCGUCGGUAAGGUGAUAUGAACCGUUAUAACCGGCGAUUUCCGAAUGGGGAAACCCAGUGUGAUUCGUCACACUAUCAUUAACUGAAUCCAUAGGUUAAUGAGGCGAACCGGGGGAACUGAAACAUCUAAGUACCCCGAGGAAAAGAAAUCAACCGAGAUUCCCCCAGUAGCGGCGAGCGAACGGGGAGCAGCCCAGAGCCUGAAUCAGUGUGUGUGUUAGUGGAAGCGUCUGGAAAGGCGCGCGAUACAGGGUGACAGCCCCGUACACAAAAAUGCACAUACUGUGAGCUCGAUGAGUAGGGCGGGACACGUGGUAUCCUGUCUGAAUAUGGGGGGACCAUCCUCCAAGGCUAAAUACUCCUGACUGACCGAUAGUGAACCAGUACCGUGAGGGAAAGGCGAAAAGAACCCCGGCGAGGGGAGUGAAAAAGAACCUGAAACCGUGUACGUACAAGCAGUGGGAGCCUCUUUAUGGGGUGACUGCGUACCUUUUGUAUAAUGGGUCAGCGACUUAUAUUCUGUAGCAAGGUUAACCGAAUAGGGGAGCCGAAGGGAAACCGAGUCUUAACUGGGCGUUAAGUUGCAGGGUAUAGACCCGAAACCCGGUGAUCUAGCCAUGGGCAGGUUGAAGGUUGGGUAACACUAACUGGAGGACCGAACCGACUAAUGUUGAAAAAUUAGCGGAUGACUUGUGGCUGGGGGUGAAAGGCCAAUCAAACCGGGAGAUAGCUGGUUCUCCCCGAAAGCUAUUUAGGUAGCGCCUCGUGAAUUCAUCUCCGGGGGUAGAGCACUGUUUCGGCAAGGGGGUCAUCCCGACUUACCAACCCGAUGCAAACUGCGAAUACCGGAGAAUGUUAUCACGGGAGACACACGGCGGGUGCUAACGUCCGUCGUGAAGAGGGAAACAACCCAGACCGCCAGCUAAGGUCCCAAAGUCAUGGUUAAGUGGGAAACGAUGUGGGAAGGCCCAGACAGCCAGGAUGUUGGCUUAGAAGCAGCCAUCAUUUAAAGAAAGCGUAAUAGCUCACUGGUCGAGUCGGCCUGCGCGGAAGAUGUAACGGGGCUAAACCAUGCACCGAAGCUGCGGCAGC
rnacentral:rRNA from 1 species